rnacentral:rRNA from 1 species
UACGGAGGGUGCAAGCGUUGUCCGGAAUCACUGGGCGUAAGGGGCGCGUAGGCGGCUCAUGAAGGCUGUGGUGAAAGUCCGGGGCUCAACCUCGGAUCGGCCGUGGCGACUCGUGGGCUGGAGCACUGUAGAGGCGGGUGGAAUUCCGGGUGUAGCGGUGGAAUGCGUAGAGAUCCGGAAGAACACCAGUGGCGAAGGCGGCCCGCUGGGCAGUGGCUGACGCUGAAGCGCGACAGCGUGGGGAGCAAACAGG